rnacentral:sRNA from 1 species
UAGCGAUUAACUUAACGACGCACACAUUCCGAUAGCGUUAUCAGGGUGCCGCGAGAGUGGUUUGGUAGCGAGGUUUGUGGAGGCUUAAC